rnacentral:rRNA from 1 species
CCGUUCUCAGUUCGGAUCGGAGUCUGCAACCCGACUCCGUGAAGCUGGAUUCGCUAGUAAUCGCGCAUCAGCCAUGGCGCGGUGAAUACGUUCCCGGGCCUUGUACACACCGCCCGUCAAGCCAUGGGAGCCGGGGGCGCCUGAAGUCCGGGACCGCGAGGACCGGCCUAGGGCGAAACUGGUAACUGGGGCUAAGUCGUAACAAGGUAUC